rnacentral:rRNA from 1 species
GAACGCUGGCGGCAGGCUUAACACAUGCAAGUCGAGCGGUAGCAGAUCUAGCUUGCUAGAUGCUGACGAGCGGCGACGGGUGAGUAACGCGUAGGAACCUGCCCAGUAGUGGGGGAUAGCCCGGGGAAACUCGGAUUAAUACCGCAUACGCUCUACGGAGGAAAGAGGGCUUCGGCUCUCGCUAUUGGAUGGGCCUGCGUGAGAUUAGCUAGUUGGUGAGGUAAUGGCUCACCAAGGCGACGAUCUCUAGCUGGUCUGAGAGGAUGAUCAGCCACACUGGGACUGAGACACGGCCCAGACUCCUACGGGAGGCAGCAGUGGGGAAUAUUGCACAAUGGGCGCAAGCCUGAUGCAGCCGUGCCGCGUGUGUGAAGAAGGCUUUCGGGUUGUAAAGCACUUUCAGUGGGGAGGAAGGCCUCGUAGUUAAUAGCUGCGAGGAUUGACGUUACCCACAAAAGAAGCACCGGCUAACUCCGUG